UACGUAGGGUGCAAGCGUUAAUCGGAAUUACUGGGCGUAAAGCGUGCGCAGGCGGUUUUGUAAGUCUGACGUGAAAUCCCUGGGCUCAACCUGGGAAUUGCGUUGGAGACUGCAAGGCUGGAGUCUGGCAGAGGGGGGUAGAAUUCCACGUGUAGCAGUGAAAUGCGUAGAGAUGUGGAGGAACACCGAUGGCGAAGGCAGCCCCCUGGGUCAAGACUGACGCUCAUGCACGAAAGCGUGGGGAGCAAACAGG
rnacentral:rRNA from 1 species